rnacentral:rRNA from 1 species
AUUGAACGCUGGCGGCAGGCCUAACACAUGCAAGUCGAACGGAUGAAGCGAGCUUGCUUUUUGUUUCAGGUGGCGAAGGGCGGAGUAAGCCGAGGAACAUCUGCGCUUGUCUUGGGGAACGGCUGGAGACAGGGGGGAUUACACCAUAACCUCCGAUGUGGAAGGAGGGGGAUCUUGGGAACUCUCGCUCUCAGAAGAAUGGAGGUGGGAUUAGCUAGUUGGUGGGUUGGAGGCCUACCAAGCCGACGAUUCGUAACUGGUCUGAGAGGAUGAGCAGCCACACUGGAACUGAGACACGGUCCAGACUCCUACGGGAGGCAGCAGUGGGGAAUAUUGGACAAUGGGGGGAAUCCUGCUCCAGCCGUGCCGCGUGGGUGAAGAAGGGCUUCGGGUUGUAAAGCCGUUUUGGUGGGGUAGAAGGGCAGUAGGUUAAUACCUGGCUGUUGUGACGGUACCAACAGAAGAAGCACCGGCUAACUACGUG